AUGGCCAAAUGUAUCAGAUGGAUUGACUUUGAUUACCUUCGAAGACACUCGAAAACAUUCAUUUCCCCCUUUGGUUUCUCUCUCUCGCUCUCUCUGUUUCUCUCUCUCGCACUCGGUCUCUUUCUCUCUCUCUCUAUUUCUCUCUCUCUUCCUGGCAUCACUCCAGUCUGUUUCUCUGGUAUUUCUCUCUCUCUUCCUGGCAUCACUCCAGUCUGUUUCUCUGGUAUUUCUCUCUCUCUUCCUGGCAUCACUCCAGUCUGUUUCUCUGGUAUUUCUCUCUCUCUUCCUGGCAUCACUCCAGUCUGUUUCUCUGGUAUUUCUCUCUCUCUUCCUGGCAUCACUCCAGUCUGUUUCUCUGGUAUUUCUCUCUCUCUUCCUGGCAUCACUCCAGUCUGUUUCUCUGGUAUUUCUCUCUCUCUUCCUGGCAUCACUCCAGUCUGUUUCUCUGGUAUUUCUCUCUCUCUUCCUGGCAUCACUCCACUCUGUUUCUCUGGUAUUUCUCUCUCUCUUCCUGGCAUCACUCCAGUCUGUUUCUCUGGUAUUUCUCUCUCUCUUCCUGGCAUCACUCCAGUCUGUUUCUCUGGUAUUUCUCUCUCUCUUCCUGGCAUCACUCCAGUCUGUUUCUCUGGUAUUUCUCUCUCUCUUCCUGGCAUCACUCCAGUCUGUUUCUCUGGUAUUUCUCUCUCUCUUCCUGGCAUCACUCCAGUCUGUUUCUCUGGUAUUUCUCUCUCUCUUCCUGGCAUCACUCCAGUCUGUUUCUCUGGUAUUUCUCUCUCUCUUCCUGGCAUCACUCCAGUCUGUUUCUCUGGUAUUUCUCUCUCUCUUCCUGGCAUCACUCCAGUCUGUUUCUCUGGUAUUUCUCUCUCGGUUCUGCCGCAGUCGUGUUCAGGCUGGUUUGAUUUGUUGCUGCUGUUUUGCGGCGGCCGGCGUGAAUCAGGAGUCAGACGCACAGGGACAGUAGUGGUGGGAACAGAGAUGACCACAGUCAAACCAGGCGCUGGGCACCAGGUGACAGCAGUCAUGACCUCGCCCAUCAUCACUGGGACAAGACCACUCACCAAUGGGCAUGCGUCCCUUUCUCGUCUGUCGUCCAAUCACAACAGCCCAGCAGGGUCACCGCGGAUGGACAGAGUGCAGCUAGUGAGGGGGAGAGAGGAGAGAGAGAAGAGUCAUGGUAUGAAUCACUGCUUCCAACUGAACUGACUGGAUGGCACUGUCAUCUGUUGUUGUGACAAACACGCAAACACACAUUUGUUUUACUAUCCUUGUUAGGACCAAACAAUUGAUUCCCAUUCAAAAUCCUAUUUUCCCUAACCCCUAAAACUAAACCUAACCCUAAUUCUAACCCUAAACUAGUG
rnacentral:lncRNA from 8 species